rnacentral:lncRNA from 1 species
UGGAGAUUCCUCCCCACCAGACAUCCAAGAAGGAGAAGCUCAUGUAUGAGAAGCUCCCUCAUUCCAGGAGAACCCUCCCAUCUCCAGCUCCUCUCCACCCUGAGGAAUCACCCCUUACCCUGGUGCAUUCCGAGCAGUGAAGGAUGAUUUCCAGCUGGAUCAUCUCCCAAGCCUGACUGCUGAGGAGCAGCAGGAGGAGCAGCUGAGAUGCCCCCACAGUGGAUCUGUCACCCAAAGUAGAGGUAUCCCCUUAAAUCCAGGUAUUUCCUGCUGCCCGUGCUGUACCCUAAUCACAAAGCAGUGGGUUCAUCUCUUCCUGAAGGCUGAGCCAGAUGCUGCCUGUGAUUCCACCGUGCUCAGAAACCUCAGAGAUUUCAGUGCAGAAGUGUCCAGCUUCCCUUCCCCCAUGAAAUACCUGCAGGUCCCUGAUCCAGCUCUCAUUCUCCAGCUAAAAACCUGCAGUUCCCAGCUCCAGCUGUCCCUCUCCUGUGAAAUACCUGUGAUUCCCUGUCUUGGCAGAGCUCAGCUGCUGGAUCUGCUCCCUCCAAACCAGGCUGGAACACGUCAAACAGGAACAUUAACUGCUUUUCCAGCUGUCUGGAGCUCUGGAUCCAUAAAACACGCACUGAUGUUAAACCUCCCCACCUCACCAAGGAGAUGCCAGUGAUGCUGGGAUUCCUGGGUUGUUUUUUGGGGUUUUUUGAAAUGAUUUUUAGAGCUUGGAGGAAAUCCCUGCCAGGGGUGAUUUUUUUUCUGCAGGAGCUGCAAUGUGGGGCUGCUCCCCAGGCUGGGUGGGUGUCACUCCUUGGCAAAGGUAGGACAAGGCAAGUGGGACCACUGCCAACAGCAGCUGCAGCAGGUGCCACCCUGGAGAGGUGGUGUCACAGAAUCCCAGAGUGCUGUGGGUUGGAAGGGACCUUACAGAUCAUCCAGU